rnacentral:rRNA from 1 species
CUGGGGAGUACGGCCGCAAGGCUAAAACUCAAAGGAAUUGACGGGGGCCCGCACAAGCGGCGGAGCAUGCGGAUUAAUUCGAUGCAACGCGAAGAACCUUACCAAGGCUUGACAUAUACCGGAAACGUCCAGAGAUGGUCGCCCCGCAAGGUCGGUAUACAGGUGGUGCAUGGUUGUCGUCAGCUCGUGUCGUGAGAUGUUGGGUUAAGUCCCGCAACGAGCGCAACCCUCGUCCUAUGUUGCCAGCACGUCAUGGUGGGAACUCAUGGGAUACUGCCGGGGUCAACUCGGAGGAAGGUGGGGAUGAGGUCAAAUCAUCAUGCCCCUUAUGUCUUGGGCUUCACGCAUGCUACAAUGGCCGGUACAAUGGGCUGCGAUACCGCGAGGUGGAGCGAAUCCCAAAAAGCCGGUCUCAGUUCGGAUUGAGGUCUGCAACUCGACCUCAUGAAGUCGGAGUCGCUAGUAAUCGCAGAUCAGCAACGCUGCGGUGAAUACGUUCCCGGGCCUUGUACACACCGCCCGUCAAGUCAUGAAAGUCGGAAACACCCGAAGCCA